AACUUCGCAAUGUGCGCAAGCACGACGAGGGAACCCUAAGUGCCUAUGCUUUGCAUAGGCUGUUCUCCUGUCUAAAAACAGGGGGAGUAAGGGCUGGGUAAGACGGGUGCCAGCCGCCGCGGUAAUACCCGCAGCCCAAGUGGUGAUCGUUAUUAUUGGGUUUAAAACGUCCGUAGCUGGUCUAGUAAAUUCCUGGGUAAAUCGAAUUGCUUAACAAUUCGAAUUCCGGGUAGACUGCUAGACUUGGGACCGGAAGAGGUCAGAAGUACUUCUGGGGUAGGGGUAAAA
rnacentral:rRNA from 1 species